CUGUGGUUGGGAUUGUAAAAGUGGCAGUCUAGAUUGGUAAUUUCAAGCUUAUAUCAUACACAGCAUAAUAAAUUGAACUAUUAUGUGCUCCAUUGUGCUAUUUUUAGAUUUACCCUUACAUACGAGGGUGUUACGAAUAGGGUAUGUGUGUUUCUCUCCUUCACAUAUAUUACUUCCCUGAACAGGUAGAACAAGACACACUUGCACGGAUUAACAUGAAGGAUGGAUUUAUGUUGGGAGUUUAGUUUGUGAACAACUCUCGGGAUGUAUUGACAUGGCUUUCUACUUGAACACGGUGGCUAUUCGAAUGAAGAAGGACAGACCUGGCAGAUAUAGAGUGUCUAAUUGAAGGUGAAACAUGUGCGUCCAUCUAUAUGAUUGUGAAAGGGAAUUCAUCCAAGAUGUACGACCAUAGAUGAACUUGUUUUGAAGUUUCAUAACAGCAUAGACAAUGGCGGAUGACACAGACAAAGAACGGGGAAUGGGCGUUAAAACUGCAGCACUAGAGGAUGACAUGGCUCUCUCAUUCAUCCAUGGAACAGAUAUCUCAAAGACAUCAACCUUGGACACGAAGACAGAGGCAACGUCAUCGGAACGGCGAAUGGGAACAUUAAGAGCACUAAAGGAAGCCAUGGAUUUCCCAAACAUCCCUGAAAUUUAUAUCCCAAAGUGGUCAACCUUUGACACGAAGACAAAGGCAACA